rnacentral:rRNA from 1 species
AAAUGAAUAGACGGGGGCUCGCACAAGCGGUGGAUCAUGUGGCUUAAUUCGUCGGUAAGCGAAGAACCUUACCAAGGCUAGAAACCAUACUGCACGCUCUAUGAAAGUAGAGAAGCCUUCGAGGGUGUAUGGCAGGUGAUGCAUGGCCGUCGUCAGUUCGUGGCUUGAGCUGUUCCCUUAAGUGGGGAAACGAACGCAACCCUCGUUGCCUGUUAUAAGUGUCAGGCGAGACUGCUCCCUCACGGGAGAGGAAGGUGAGGAUGACGCCAGGUCAGCAUGUCCCUAGAUGCCUUGGGCUGCACACGUGAUACAAUGGGUGGUACAACGGGACGCAAUACAGUAAUGUGGAGCAAAUCCUUAUAAAACCAUCCUCAGUUCGGAUUGAGGGCUGCAACUCGCCCUCAUGAAGUCGGAAUCGCUAGUAAUCGCGGAUCAGCAACGCCGCGGUGAAUACGUUCCCGAGCCUUGUACACACCGCCCGU